UACGUAGGGAGCAAGCGUUAUCCGGAUUUAUUGGGUGUAAAGGGUGCGUAGACGGGUAAUCAAGUUAGUUGUGAAAUCCCUUGGCUUAACUGAGGAACUGCAACUAAAACUGGUUAUCUUGAGUGCAGGAGAGGUAAGUGGAAUUCCUAGUGUAGCGGUGAAAUGCGUAGAUAUUAGGAGGAACACCAGUGGCGAAGGCGACUUACUGGACUGUAACUGACGUUGAGGCACGAAAGUGUGGGGAGCAAACAGG
rnacentral:rRNA from 1 species